UAAAAAAAUCAUGACUUGUGACGUCAUAAUGUUAAAGCAAUUAUAUUACAGUGCAGCGCUUACGGCUAUUAUAUGUAACUUGACAAAAACAUUGUAAAUUUACUAGUAAAAAAAGAUUUGUUACAGUUAAUUUCAUUCAGCUAUGUGUGAUACAGGAUAUAUAAAAGCAAAUUCUGAUAACAUUCCUGAUGUUGAUAUAUUUAUGAUCACCGAUUUUUGAAAAAAUGACCUGCGGUUUAAUUCUGCCGAAGUUCGAGGUGUCAAGGCAUCGAGAGCAUCACGUGAAAGUUACGGCGACAAAGCUAUAGGUUAUGUUCAACUUCGUCGUAAAAAUGGCAUUUGUAUUGUAAAAGGACGUGUAUGUCCAGAACAUCGAGUUCGAAGUAAAGCUUAUUCUGUUACUUUAACAGUUAAUGAAAAGUUAAGAAAAGUUCAUGACAUUGAAUGCCAUGACUGUGCAGCUUCAGCAGGUGGUUGUAAACAUGCAUUAGCAUUACUCAUGUGGACCCAUAGCAGGAGUGAAGAUCCGACACCUACAGAAGUUGCUUGCUACUGGAAGAAGUCUCGAUUAUCAGGCAUAGGAACAGUAAUUAAAUAUAUUGAAGCUGAAAAAUUGACAAGAAAAACCUCUGCUACUUCAGUUGACAAUUUACCGGAAAAUAAUACAUUUUUACAGGAAGUCAUUGAAUUUGCCCAAAAUCAACAAAUUAACUCUCAAAUCGGACAGUUAAAUUUUGAUAUAGACUCCAAAAAAGCUUACAGUUUAUCGUUACAUCGACUUAUUUUUGAUUUUAAUAAAAAUGCUGAUUCGCAAGUUAAAAUUUUUUAGAAUUCGCUAAGACUGAAAUGAAAGAAGCUGUAUGUGCAGAAGCUGAACAACUAUCUAAACAGCAAAGUGAAUGUGCACUUUGGCAUGAACUUCGUUAUGGACGUAUAACUGCAUCAAAAUUUUAUGAAGCUGCUCAUUGUAAAACUAAUAAUGGCUCACUAGUUCAACAAAUUAUUGGUGUAAGUAAAGUUCAUGAAACAAAUGCUAUGGCACGAGGAAAAAAUCUAGAAAAGGAUGUAAUUGAAGUUUUGGAGAAAGAGUUGAAAGUACAAAUUACGCGUCCAGGGAUUUAUCUUGUACCUAGUCAUCCAGUCUUCGCAGCAUCUCCUGAUGGAGUUACUAGUAAUGCAAUUAUUGAGAUAAAAUGUCCCUCCAGUCAAAAAUCAUUGGACACUUUUUUGCCGAAAGGCAAAAUAAGCUUAAAGUGUAAUGCUCAAAUGCAACUACAGAUGUUAAUGACGGGUAAAAGAGAAGGUAUCUUUUGUGUUGCUGAUCCAAAUUUUGAAGAAAAUGAACAAAUUUAUGUUAAAAAAUUGAAAUAUGAUGAUGCACAUACACAAGCUCUCAUUAAUAAAUGUCUAGUAUUUUGGUCCAAAAAUAUAUUUCCAAAACUAUUAAAAUCUGUACAAACUUAAGCAUUCAGUAGUCUUAAUUAAUUAUUAAUCAUAAUAUUUUGAUGUUGGUUUACAAAUGCAAUUAAUAAAAAAUAUAUUACAUUAAAUGAAA